CUUUGCUUGGAAAGAGGCUUACAUUUGUUACAUGGAGCACACGGAUGAAUUAAUUCACCAGCAAAUGAAAUGCGUCCUCUGGACCCCAAGGCUGUUCUUGGGUUAACAUCCUGUAAACACGGCACACAUUAAGAGUUCUACGGUAUGAGUGUACCAGAGUUUGCUUUCUAUUCACCGACUGAAGGAAAAUUGGGACAAUUCUGGAUAAGGCUGCUAUGAAUACAGGAGAAGCCACGUGUCACGUGCUAAGGACACUCAGAUAACCCAAUAAAGAGGACCUGAUGUCUCUUGCCAACAGCCAUUUGAGCACACCAUCUUGAAAAUUUAUCUGCAGCCCCAGUCAAACCUUCAGAUGACCUCAGCACUGCCCAACACCAAGGACCCUGAGAUCAUGACCUGAACCGAAGGCAGAGGCUUUAACCCACUGAGCCACCCAGGUGCCCCAGCACUGGUAAAAGUCUUGAGUGCCAAUUCAUGGAUUCAGAAUCACCCAGUGAAGAGUCUUCCAAAUUUAUGAACACCGACUGGUGAAGCGAUUUCUGUGGAAGCAGCCCCUAUCACAGCCAGGCUGGUCUACACAGAGCAGAUGCUUGGGGUCACCAGCCUGGAGGAGCAUGUGUGGACCUGGGAAGGCAGUCACUUCAGUAGCUGAUCUGUGAGCACAGAUGCAGCCUGGGGCAUCGGAGCACAGAGAUUUCAUCAAGAAGCUCAGGUCUGAGGUGCUGCUGGUGGGACAUCGAGGUGGAAGUAUCCCACAGAUGGAAAUUUGGAACUGCAAGUCUGGGAAGAGGUUGGAGCUGAAGCAACAGUUUCAGGAGACAAAGACCUGGCAGUGAGCCCUGGAUGUAGACUGGCCCCAGAGGGAAGAGUGUGGAGCAAAAGAAGACAAAGUUUGGCAAAGGAGCAAAUUUAAGAAGAAGAAAAAGAAGACAUCAUGAGCCAGAAUCAAAGGAUAAUAUUAAUUUUUGUCAUUUUAUAGAUGAGGAAAUUACUUGACUUUUAGCUGUGUUUACUUAGCUCUGAGAUUCCCAUAGCCAGAGCUAUUUAUGCUCCAAUAAGUUUUGGGCUAGUCCUGGGUUCUGUAAGGAAACUCAUCAUUUCUAGUUUGAAGUGGUUCCAAGAAGUUAACUUGUUUAUUGAAUAGACUUCUGCUAUACUAUUUGUCUUUGUUGCAGGUUUAUAGCAAAAACCUGUAACAGAUGGG